GAUGGACGCUAGCGACAGGCCUAACACAUGCAAGUCGAGGGGCAGCACAUGCGUAGCAAUACAAUGGUUGCGACCGGCGCACGGGUGAGUAACACGUAUGCAACCUACCUGUAAGAGGGGAAUAACCCGGAGAAAUUCGGACUAACACCGCAUAAUACCUCGAAGCUGCAUGGCUAUGAGGUUAAAUAUUUAUAGCUUACAGAUGGGCAUGCGUAACAUGAGAUAGUUGGUGAGGUAACGGCUCACCAAGUCAACGAUGGUUAUGGGUUCUGAGGGGCAGCUCCACCAACCAGGUAAUGCGACACGGCGCCGACUACUACGGGAGGCAGCAGGUGGGAGUAUUGGUCGAUGGGGGAGGGCCUGAACCAGCCAAGUCGCGUGAAGGAAGCAGGUUCUAUGGAUUGUAAACUUCUGUUGUAAGGGAAUAAAAAAGCUUACGUGUAGGCUAUUGUAGGUACUUUACGAAUAAGGAUCGGCUAACUCCGUGCCAGCCGCCGCCGUAAGAC
rnacentral:rRNA from 1 species